rnacentral:rRNA from 1 species
CCUACGGGAGGCUGCAGUGAGGAAUUUUCCGCAAUGGGCGAAAGCCUGACGGAGCGACGCCGCGUGAGGGAUGACGGCCUUCGGGUUGUAAACCUCUUUUGCGAGAGAAAAAGGCAAUCGUGCUCAUACCACGGUUGUUUGAUGGUAUCUCGCGAAUAAGCCCCGGCUAACUACGUGCCAGCAGCCGCGGUAAUACGUAGGGGGCGAGCGUUGUCCGGAUUUACUGGGCGUAAAGCGCGUGUAGGCGGUUGAUCAAGUCGGGUGUGAAAUGCUGCAGCUUAACUGCGGCACUGCGCUCGAAACUGGUUGACUGGAGUUUGGCAGGGGUAACCGGAAUUCCUGGUGUAACGGUGAAAUGUGUAGAUAUCAGGAGGAACAUCUGUGGCGAAGGCGGGUUACUGGGCCGAAACUGACGCUGAGACGCGAAAGCGUGGGGAGCAAACAGGAUUAGAUACCCUUGUAGUC